GAUGAACGCUGGCGGCGUGCCUAAUACAUGCAGGUCGAGCGAACAGACGAGGAGCUUGCUCCUCUGACGUUAGCGGCGGACGGGUGAGUAACACGUGGAUAACCUACCUAUAAGACUGGGAUAACUUCGGGAAACCGGAGCUAAUACCGGAUAAUAUAUUGAACCGCAUGGUUCAAUAGUGAAAGACGGUUUUGCUGUCACUUAUAGAUGGAUCCGCGCCGCAUUAGCUAGUUGGUAAGGUAACGGCUUACCAAGGCAACGAUGCGUAGCCGACCUGAGAGGGUGAUCGGCCACACUGGAACUGAGACACGGUCCAGACUCCUACGGGAGGCAGCAGUAGGGAAUCUUGCGCAAUGGGCGAAAGCUUGACGGAGCAACGCCGAGUGAGUGAUGAAGGUCUUCGGAUCGUAAAACUCUGUUAUUAGGGAAGAACAAAUGUGUAAGUAACUAUGCACGUCUUGACGGUACCUAAUCAGAAAGCCACGGCUAACUACGUG
rnacentral:rRNA from 1 species